AGAAGAAUUUUAAUUAUAAUUUUAAUUGUAGACUUUUCAAUUUAAUUCGAAGUUCAAAAAUUAACAAUUGCUCGAUAUAAUAGAGAAGUAGUUAAAAAUGAUAUAUAUAAGAAAUUUUAGUAGUUUUAAUUCACUAUGUAAGUGAAACGUGUCAUAUAAACAGAUGAAAAACGAUUGCAUAAAGAUGAAAAAUAAAUUUAAAAAAAUGGUAUUAGUGAAAAAAAAAAACCGGGAAUAAUAUCAGGUUAAUAAAAUACAGGUUUUUUUUCUAUCGACGAGUUAAUAACUAAAUAGCUGGGUAAUUAUCCUCUUCUAUUUGAACUCGGAAUAUUUUUUAAUGGAAAUGAAAUAUUCUCUUUGCAACGUUCGCGACGGAGUAAAAAUACGUAUAAAGCAGGGGCUGAAAUACGACUUUUGAUUUCAGUCAGAUUGCUAAUACUGCAAGUACGGUGAUUCUCCGUAAAAGAAAUAUAUUCAAAUUGCAUAAUCCAGUCCUCUUAUGUGGAAUAUAUAAUAUUAAAAUCUUGGAAAUCUCUCACGCUAUUAAUUCAAGCUUUUUAUGUUCACAGUCGAAGUUGGACAAACAAUUCAGUAGAAAGAAAUGUGAACAACCAUUAACCGCUUUAUCAUUUCACUAAUUAUUUCCGCAGAGGGUAUUUUCUAUCGGUUCCAACUCGGUUUUCUAUUUUUCAAAAUGCUUAAACAGCUUGAACGAAACUUCGUAUUUCUCUGUCCGAGCAAGCUCUCAGAGUAAAAAGUAAUAAUCUCUUUCAGAAACAAUGUCCCAGAGAUUAUGCCAAUGUAUCUUCUGUUUCUUUCACGAAGAAUCAUCCCCUACAACUGCAGGCCAUUUUCGUUUUCGUAAAUUUUCAUUCAUUUUUAACUUCUGACGUGUGUCCGUGUGUAUGUGUGUGCGUGUGUCUGACGUGUAUGUGUCUGUGUUGCGUGUGCGUUGCGAACGAUUGUUGCAUUCUCUUCAUCGGCAUGCAACCGAAUCGGUUGAAGACCUUUCUCUUCACUUUGAAAUGCCAAACGCAGAUGAUGACAGUGUUUCGGGUGUCUGUUGCAGUACGGCAGUCCCGGCUCGGGGUGGCGACAUCUUAACGCGAAGUGGCGUUCGCCUAGAUCGUCUGCAACGCACGGGAAGGUCUUCCCGCAAUUAUACCAUCGGCUGGGGCAUGCACCGAUGAUCGACCACGUCUGCGAACCUCGACGACGAUGACCACCACGGCGACGAGAAUGCUCGACCAUUCGCUUUAUCAAUCGGACGUGCUUGUCAUUUGAAACGGGAAGAGAAGCUUGAAAGUUUGAUAUAUGUAUAUACGAUUUUACGAUGAAUGACAAUUCGCGCUUGAAAGUUCGCUCCAACAUAGAUCACGCGAUUUAGAGAUUAGAUUUAACCUUUAAUUGCUACUGCGAGAUACUCAGACGCUUUUAGAUUCUAGAAAUAUUGUUAUAUCGUUUAUUCUUAACAAACGGCACUGAUAAUGAGUGUCGCUAAUUUUCAGUUGGUGGUUUGUUACCGAUUAUGCGAUGUUAAAUCUUCGUUGAUAUUUGUCAAAGCUGUAGCGUCGUAAUAUUUUAUAAUGUUUCUUGAUGUAUUUUGCUGAAUUAUUUACGAUACUCAGUUUGAUAUUCGAUCCUCGCAAUAUUCGAUAUCAGACGAAGACUAAUGGAAUGUCAUAA